rnacentral:lncRNA from 1 species
CCAUCUUUGAUUUAUCACCUUAGAACUUCUAGAUACCAAGGCUUUAGUAAAUAGGUUGGUCAAGUUCUUUUUUCCAUCGAUCUUCUAAAGAUUGACAUUACCUUAACAGAUUUUUCGAAUAAAGUAAUAGCGAUGCAAAAUGCUUGAUAAGUUAAUGGGACUUUGGCUUCUUGGUAUGAGCUAUGGCCCUGGUACUGUACAAUAUAGUAGAACCA